AUUGAUAGAGUGAUUGAUCGGGUGUGCGCUGCAGGCGGGCAGCCAUCCCGUUCCUUCGCACUGCCACCGGCAGACCGCCCC
rfam:Cyanobium gracile PCC 6307, complete genome.